AAGCUCGUAGUUGAAUUUCGGGGUCUACCCAUUGGUCAGGCUUAAUUGUCUGUACUGGUGAGAUGGAUCUCUACCUUCUGAGGAACUUUCAUGCCAUUUAUUUGGUGUGAUGGGAAAUCAGGACUGUUACUUUGAAAAAAUUAGAGUGUUUAAAGCAGACUAUCGUCUGAAUACAUUAGCAUGGAAUAAUGAAAUAGGACGGACUGAUUCUAUUUCGUUGGCUUCUAGGACCGAAGUAAUGAUUAAUAGGGAUAGUUGGG
rnacentral:rRNA from 1 species